rnacentral:rRNA from 1 species
AUGGAGUCUACAGCGGAAGAGAUUCUGCGUGAUAUUUUCCUGAGGCUGCCGACUAGGGACGUCGUCCGCGGCCGCAACGUCAGCCGGCAAUGGCGUGGCCUCCUCACAGACCCAUCUUUCGUCGACCUCCAUGCCCACGCCAACCAUGUCACGCCCGGUACUGACGGAGCUGCAACAGAGGCGGUGGCCGUCUCGGAGACUCGCGGGCGGGGCAUCGGCCUCGAGAUGGUCGUCCUCAACCUCGCCUCGGCGAACCCCAUGUGCAUGGUAUCCGACCUGGCCGCCCCCUACAGCCCCGUAAACGCCUGUAACGGCUUCCUCCUCCUUGCACCCCGCUCAAGCACGGAGGGCGGCUGGCCUGUCUUUGUGUGCAAUCCCAUCUCCGGUGCCGGCGAGAACCUCAAGGUCCGGGCACCGCCAUAUGACGACCAAUACCGCCACAUGUAUGCCAUGGGGUUUAGCCCGUUCUCCAGCCAAUACAAGCUCUUUUGCUUCUCCUUUAUGGAGCCCGACGACGACUUGUGGGCAUCGGAGGAGAGGGACAGCGACCUUGACGUGCUCACCUUGGGCGAUGGCAAUGGCAAUGCUUGGCACCAGCACCCGGACGUGUUCCCGUGCCCAGUCGGGGACAGCCUCAGCCCGUCGCCCCCCUUGUCCGUCGACGGCAAGCUGUACGUGGUGGCCAUUGAGCCAUAUCUGAUGCUAGAGAUUGAUGUGGCCACCGAGGAGCACCGCACGUACCCCCUCCCUCCCGAGGACCACCCCAAGGAAGUGUACCCCUUCGAGAUGAGCGGGCGGCUGUGCGUCGCCGUGCGUGGACUCGGCGACCAACAGCUCUAUUUCUGGUUCAUGCGGCCGGUGCCGAUGCAAAGCAAGCUGCUCACCGACGGCAAUGAUGAUCCGCUGAACAACUGGGAACUGCGCUACACCUUCUACGUGGAUAAUGGCGACUGCGACGAGCUAAGGGGCGUCUGGCACGAUGACAGUAAUGGGAUGUUGUGCUACUGGCUGGGUGACGAUCUCUACAAGUAUGACACCAGUAAGAAGGGUCAACAACUGACCGCCGAUAGUGUCUUGGAGUGGGACCAUCGGAUCCCCCUGCCGGCAACUAUGGCGCCAUCGGAAUCUUGUUGGGAGGAAAUCGACGAUUACAAACAUCGGUGGAACGUCUACGGCGGCUACCGUCCGAGCCUACUCUCUCCUCGCCUGGCCUUCAGCACCACUCUGUCGCCACAGCAAGAUGGUAAUGGUCGAGGACACUUGGACCACGCCUUGCUACGUGCUCUGCGAUGCCAACAACAGACGCAGCAACAACUUCUCCACCAAGAGGAUGCGCCAGCCAAUAAGAUAUAA